CCUACGGGAGGCAGCAGUGGGGAAUAUUGCACAAUGGGGGAAACCCUGAUGCAGCGACGCCGCGUGAGUGAAGAAGUAAUUCGUUAUGUAAAGCUCUAUCAGCAGGGAAGAAAAUGACGGUACCUGAGUAAGAAGCCCCGGCUAACUAUGUGCCAGUAGCCGCGGUAAUACGUAGGGGGCAAGCGUUAUCCGGAUUUAUUGGGGUAAAGGGGUGCGCAGUCGGCCUGUUAAGUCAGCGGUAAAAGCCCGGGGUUAAACCCAGGCGAGCCGUUGAAACUGGCAGGCUGGAGUUGGAGAGAAGUACGCGGAAUGCGCGGUGUAGCGGUGAAAUGCUUAGAUAUCGCGCAGAACCCCGAUUGCGAAGGCAGCGUAC
rnacentral:rRNA from 1 species